AUUGAACGCUGGCGGCAUGCCUUACACAUGCAAGUCGAACGGCAGCACGGGAGCAAUCCUGGUGGCGAGUGGCGAACGGGUGAGUAAUAUAUCGGAACGUGCCCAGACAUGGGGGAUAACGUAGCGAAAGCUACGCUAAUACCGCAUGUGAUCUGUGGAUGAAAGCGGGGGAUCGCAAGACCUCGCGCGUUUGGAGCGGC
rnacentral:rRNA from 1 species